rnacentral:rRNA from 1 species
AUUGAACGCUGGCGGCAGGCCUAACACAUACAAGUCGAACGGCAGCGCGGACUUCGGUCUGGCGGCGAGUGGCGAACGGGUGAGUAAUACAUCGGAACGUACCCUGUUGUGGGGGAUAACUAGUCGAAAGAUUAGCUAAUACCGCAUACGACCUGAGGGUGAAAGUGGGGGACCGCAAGGCCUCACGCAGCAGGAGCGGCCGAUGUCUGAUUAGCUAGUUGGUGGGGUAAAGGCCCACCAAGGCGACGAUCAGUAGCUGGUCUGAGAGGACGAUCAGCCACACUGGGACUGAGACACGGCCCAGACUCCUACGGGAGGCAGCAGUGGGGAAUUUUGGCCAAUGGGGGCAACCCUGAUCCAGCAAUGCCGCGUGUGUGAAGAAGGCCUUCGGGUUGUAAAGCACUUUUGUCCGGAAAGAAAUCGCGCUGGUUAAUACCUGGCGUGGAUGACGGUACCGGAAGAAUAAGCACCGGCUAACUACGUGCCAGCCGCCGCCGUAA